rnacentral:tRNA from 6 species
GUCCCAGUAGCUCAGUAGGAUAGAGCGCCUCCCUCCUAAGGAGGAAGUCAGGGGUUCGAAUCCUCUCUGGGACGCCA